AUGAGUGGGGUGAUGUGCCUUAAAGCAUCAGACACUUGGGCCUCGGGCAUCAGGAGCCAGCCACAGGGAUGUCUGGGGAAAUGGCGUUCCAUGAGAUGCAAGCACACAAGAAUGCACUUGGCACAUCUGGGGAACAGCAGGCAGCUGAUAUCACUGGGCCCACCCCGCACCAGGGAGGAUGGAAGCAGGUCAGAUUAUCCUUGUAGAGGCCCCCUGGAUGGCACCAAGAUCGGCCCUGGCAAGCAGGUGACCCUGACUUCAGAGCCCUUGCCUGAGGGCCUGGCCUGGCAGCUCUGCUGUUAGAAGCAGGAGGUGUGCAGGGGGUGGGGAGCAGCCCAGCCUCUGUGAUCUUCUCCAUGGCAGGAUCUCCCAGCAGGUAGAGCAGAGCCGGAGCCAGGUGCAGGCCAUUGGAGAGAAGGUCUCCUUGGCCCAGGCCAAGAUUGAGAAGAUCAAGGGCAGCAAGAAGGCCAUCAAGGUGUUCUCCAGUGCCAAGUACCCUGCUCCAGAGCGCCUGCAGGAAUAUGGCUCCAUCUUCACGGGCGCCCAGGACCCUGGCCUGCAGAGACGCCCCCGCCACAGGAUCCAGAGCAAGCACCGCCCCCUGGACGAGCGGGCCCUGCAGGAGAAGCUGAAGGACUUUCCUGUGUGCGUGAGCACCAAGCCGGAGCCCGAGGACGAUGCAGAAGAGGGACUUGGGGGUCUUCCCAGCAACAUCAGCUCUGUCAGCUCCUUGCUGCUUUUCAACACCACCGAGAACCUGUAUGGCCAGAAGGCAGGGCCGAGGGGUGUGGGCGGGAGGCCCGGCCUGGCUUAGUGGGGACCCAGGGCAUCAGACACAGGUACAGCACAUAGGCCAGGAGCCAGGGGGUGACUGGGGUGGCUCGGCUCGGGAGGCCUGGGACCCCACAGUGCACGCUGUGCCCCUGAUGAUGUGGGAGAGGAACAUGGGCUCAGGACAGCGGGUGUCAGCUUGCCUGACCCCCAUGUCGCCUCCGUAGGUACAAGAAGUAUGUCUUCCUGGACCCCCUGGCUGGUGCUGUAACAAAGACCCAUGUGAUGCUGGGGGCAGAGACAGAGGAGAAGCUGUUUGAUGCCCCCUUGUCCAUCAGCAAGAGAGAGCAGCUGGAACAGCAGGUCCCAGAGAACUACUUCUAUGUGCCAGACCUGGGCCAGGUGCCUGAGAUUGAUGUUCCAUCCUACCUGCCUGACCUGCCCAGCAUUGCCAACGACCUCAUGUACAGUGCCGACCUGGGCCCCGGCAUUGCCCCCUCUGCCCCUGGCACCAUUCCGGAACUGCCCACCUUCCACACUGAGGUAGCCGAGCCUCUCAAGACCUACAAGAUGGGGUACUAACACCACCCCCACCGCCCCCACCACCACCCCCAGCUCCUGAGGUGCUGGCCAGUGCACCCCCACUCCCACCCUCAACCGCGGCCCCUGUAGGCCAAGGCGCCAGGCAGGACGACGGCAGCAGCAGCGCGUCUCCUUCAGUCCAGGGAGCUCCCAGGGAAGUGGUCGACCCCUCCGGUGGCUGGGCCACUCUGCUAGAGUCCAUCCGCCAAGCUGGGGGCAUCGGCAAGGCCAAGCUGCGCAGCAUGAAGGAGCGAAAGCUGGAGAAGAAGAAGCAGAAGGAGCAGGAGCAAGUGAGAGCCACGAGCCAAGGUGGGCACUUGAUGUCGGAUCUCUUCAACAAGCUGGUCAUGAGGCGCAAGGGCAUCUCUGGGAAAGGACCUGGGGCUGGUGAGGGGCCCGGAGGAGCCUUUGCCCGCGUGUCAGACUCCAUCCCUCCUGUGCCCCCACCGCAACAGCCACAGGCAGAGGAGGACGAGGACGACUGGGAAUCCUAGGGGGCUCCAUGACACCUUCCCCCCCAGACCCAGACUUGGGCUGUUGCUCUGACAUGGACACAGCCAGGACAAGCUGCUCAGACCUGCUUCCCUGGGAGGGGGUGACGGAACCAGCACUGUGUGGAGACCAGCUUCAAGGAGCGGAAGGCUGGCUUGAGGCCACACAGCUGGGGCGGGGACUUCUGUCUGCCUGUGCUCCAUGGGGGGACGGCUCCACCCAGCCUGCGCCACUGUGUUCUUAAGAGGCUUCCAGAGAAAACGGCACACCAAUCAAUAAAGAACUGAGCAGAAA
rnacentral:lncRNA from 1 species